rnacentral:rRNA from 1 species
UACGUAGGGUGCGAGCGUUGUCCGGAAUUAUUGGGCGUAAAGAGCUCGUAGGCGGUUCGUCGCGUCGGCUGUGAAAACCCGAGGCUCAACCUCGGGCCUGCAGUCGAUACGGGCGGACUGGAGUUCGGCAGGGGAGACUGGAAUUCCUGGUGUAGCGGUGAAAUGCGCAGAUAUCAGGAGGAACACCGGUGGCGAAGGCGGGUCUCUGGGCCGAUACUGACGCUGAGACGCGAAAGCGUGGGGAGCGAACAGG